rnacentral:rRNA from 1 species
AGAACGAACGCUGGCGGCAUGCCUAAUACAUGCAAGUCGAACGAACACUUCGGUGUUAGUGGCGCACGGGUGCGUAACGCGUGGGAAUCUGCCCUUGGGUUCGGAAUAACAGUUGGAAACGACUGCUAAUACCGGAUGAUGACGAAAGUCCAAAGAUUUAUCGCCCAGGGAUGAGCCCGCGUAGGAUUAGCUAGUUGGUGAGGUAAAGGCUCGACCAAGGCGACGAUCCUUAGC